GCCAGGAGGCCGACAAGAUGUUCUUUCUAAUUGAGUUAAAAAUAUUAUCCACGAAGAAGUUGAAAAAUAUGAAAAGCAGUAUCGAGGCAAGGAGCUUCUGGGAUUUGUCAACUACAAGACAUUUGAGUUCAUCGUGCAUCAGUACAUCCAGCAGCUGGUGGAGCCCGCCCUUAGCAUGCUCCAGAAAGCCGUGGAAAUUAUCCGGCAAGCUUUCAUUAACAUGGCCAAAAAACAUUUUGGCGAAUUUUUCAACCUUAACCAAACUGUUCAGAGCAAGAUUGAAGACAUAAAAGUGAAACACACAGAAAAGGCAGAAAACAUGAUCCAACUUCAGUUCAGAAUGGAGCAGAUGGUUUUUUGUCAAGAUCAGAUUUACAGUGUUAUUCUGAAGAAAGUCCGAGAAGAGAUUUUUAACCCUCUGGGGAAGCCUUCACAGAAUAUGAAGUUGAACUCUCAUUUUCCCAGUAAUGAGUCUUCAGUUUCCUCCUUUACUGAAAUAGGCAUCCACCUGAAUGCCUACUUCUCGGAAACCAGCAAACGUCUCGCCAACCAGAUCCCAUUU
rnacentral:sRNA from 1 species